rnacentral:rRNA from 1 species
CGUGAGGGAAAGGUGAAAAGAACCCCGGGAGGGGAGUGAAAGAGAACCUGAAACCAUAUGCCUACAAGAAGUCAGAGCCCGUUAAAGGGUGAUGGCGUGCCUUUUGUAGAAUGAACCGGCGAGUUACUGUAUGGAGCGAGGUUAAGCAGGAUAUGCGGAGCCGAAGCGAAAGCGAGUCUUAAGAGGGCGCGAGUUGCAUGCAGUAGACCCGAAACCGGGUGAUCUAGCCAUGACCAGGUUGAAGUUGGGGUAAAACCCGAUGGAGGACCGAACCGACCCCCGUUGAAACGUUGGCGGAUGAGUUGUGGCUAGGGGUGAAAUUCCAAUCGAACCCGGAGAUAGCUGGUUCUCCCCGAAAUAGCUUUAGGGCUAGCGUCGAGAGAAGAGUUGCGUGAAGGUAGAGCACUGAAUAUGUGAUGGCCCCAUCUCGGGGUACUGAGCAUAAUCAAACUGCGAAUGUCACGCCAACAUGCUCGGCAGUCAGACAGCGGGUGAUAAGGUCCGUUGUCAAGAGGGAAACAGCCCAGACCAUCAGCUAAGGUCCCAAAAUGUAUGCUAAGUGGAAAAGGAUGUGGAGAUGUACAGACAACUAGGAGGUUGGCUCAGAAGCAGCCAUCCUUUAAAGAGUGCGUAACAGCUCACUAGUCGAAUGACUCUGCGCCGAUAAUUUACCGGGGCUAAGCAUACUACCGAAGCUAUGGAUCCCAAGGGAUGGUAGGGGAGCGUUCCAUGAACGGAGAAGUACGACCGAAAGGACGUGUGGAGAUCAUGGAAGAGAGAAUGCCGGUGUGAGUAGCGGAACGUGGGUGAGAAUCCCACGCACCGAAAACCCAAGGUUUCCAGAGGAAGGUUCGUCCGCUCUGGGUAAGUCGGGACCUAAGGCGAGGCCGAAAGGCGUAGUCGAUGGACAACAGGUAGAGAUUCCUGUACCCGUAUAUAUGUGAAGGAAUGACGGAGAGAGGAAGCUGCAGCCAGCGGCUGGAAGAGCUGGUGCAAGCGAGAUAUCGGGAUGGCAGGCAAAUCCACCAUCCGAAACGAGAAGGCGUGAAGCGUACGGAAAGCUACGGCGAGUACGGAAGGCAGUGGAGGAACUUCCAAGAAAAGUUUCUAACGUUAAGUAUAUAUGGCCCGUACCGAAAAUGGACACACAUGGGUGAGGAGAGAAUCCUAAGGUGAGCGAGAGAACUAUAGCUAAGGAACUCUGCAAAAUGACUCCGUAACUUAGGGAGAAGGAGUGCUCAUAGAGAUAUGAGCCGCAGUGAAACGGCCCAAGCGACUGUUUACCAAAAACACAGCUCUCUGCUAAGCCGCAAGGCGAAGUAUAGGGGGUGACGCCUGCCCGGUGCUGGAAGGUUAAGGGGAGGGGUUAACGCAAGUGAAGCCCUGAACUGAAGCCCCAGUAAACGGCGGCCGUAACUAUAACGGUCCUAAGGUAGCGAAAUUCCUUGUCAGGUAAGUUCUGACCCGCACGAAAGGCGUAACGAUUUGGGCGCUGUCUCAGCUGUAGACUCGGUGAAGUCUUAGUACCUGUGAAGAUGCAGGUUACCCGCGACUAGACGGAAAGACCCCAUGGAGCUUCACUGCAGGUUGAUAUUGGGAUUUGAUGCAGCAUGUACAGGAUAGGUAGGAGGCAAAGAGAUGGAUACGCCAGUAUUCAAGGAGCCGCUGUUGGGAUACUACCCCUGUUGUAUUGGAUUUCUAACCGGACGACGUAGAGCCGUUGACGGGACAGUGUCAGUCGGGCAGUUUGACUGGGGCGGUCGCCUCCCAAAGAGUAACGGAGGCGCCCAAAGAUACCCUCAGCUUGGAUGGAAACCAAGCGCAGAGUGCAAAGGCAAAAGGGUGUUUGACUGCGAGACCUACAAGUCGAGCAGGGACGAAAGUCGGGCUUAGUGAUCCGGCGGUGCUGAAUGGAAAGGCCGUCGCUCAACGGAUAAAAGCUACCCUGGGGAUAACAGGCUGAUCUCCCCCAA